GAAAUGCGAUACGUAAUGUGAAUUGCAGAAUUCAGUGAAUCAUCGAAUCUUUGAACGCACCUUGCGCCCCUUGGUAUUCCGAGGGGCACACCCGUUUGAGUGUCGUGAAAAUCUCAACCUUCUCGGUUUCUUCUGGACACCGAAGGAGGCUUGGACUUUGGAGGCCUUUGCUGGCAUCUCUCUCUUUGAAAGGCCAGCUCCUCUUAAAUGAAUUAGCGGGGUCCUCUUUGCCGAUCCUUGACAUGUGAUAAGAUGUUUCCAUGUCUUGGCUUUCUGGCUCUGUUGCUUUUGGGACCCGCUUCUAAUCGUCUUGACCUCGCAUCGAGACAAAGUUUGAGCGUGUCUCCCUUCCUGGGAAACUCUCUCAACCUCACGAACCCUUGACCUCAAAUCGGGUGAGACUACCCGCUGAACUUAA
rnacentral:rRNA from 1 species